AUAGAUCUGGAGCUCCAACGCCAGCACAGAUCUUUCGCUUCCCGUGUCUUGUGGCCCUCUUCCUGUUGACGCCUCCUUCCUCUCUUACCAUCGCCGGCGCCGUCUUCCUGUAGGUAAGCCUCUCUUUUACUCUUUUUUUUUUCUUUUUCAACUGAAAACGUUGAGGCCUCUGUUUUUCUUCUUAUAGAACUUGUAAAUUAAAUGGCAAUACCGCUGAGAGUAGAAUUGUUAGUAAUUAACUAAUUAUAUUGUUUUUGAUUUCUUAUU
rnacentral:lncRNA from 1 species